CCUACGGGAGGCAGCAGUGAGGAAUAUUGGUCAAUGGUCGAGAGUCUGAACCAGCCAAGUAGCGUGAAGGAUGAAUGCCCUAUGUGUUGUAAACUUCUUUUAUAAAGGAAUAAAACGAGGCACGUGUGCCUUUUUGCAUGUACCUUAUGAAUAAGGAUCGGCUAACUCCGUGCCAGCAGCCGCGGUAAUACGGAGGAUCCGAGCGUUAUCCGGAUUUAUUGGGUUUAAAGGGGGCGUAGAUGGGUUGUUAAGUCAGUGGUGAAAGGUUGCGGCUCAACCGUAAAAUUGCAAUUGAUACUGGCAGUCUUGAGUACAGUUGAGGUAGGCGGAAUUCGUGGUGUAGCGGUGAAAUGCUUAGAUAUCACGAAGAACCCCGAUUGCGAAGGCAGCUUACUAAACUGUGACUGACAUUGAUGCUCGAAAGUGUGGGUAUCAAACAGGAUUAGAUACCCGAGUAGUC
rnacentral:rRNA from 1 species